UACGUAGGGCGCAAGCGUUGUCCGGAAUUACUGGGCGUAAAGCGUGCGCAGGCGGUUGUGCAAGACCGAUGUGAAAUCCCCGGGCUUAACCUGGGAACUGCAUUUGUGACUGCAUCGCUGGAGUGCGGCAGAGGGGGAUGGAAUUCCGCGUGUAGCAGUGAAAUGCGUAGAUAUGCGGAGGAACACCGAUGGCGAAGGCAAUCCACUGGGCCUGCACUGACGCUCAUGCACGAAAGCGUGGGGAGCAAACAGG
rnacentral:rRNA from 1 species